AGAAUCAACGCUGGCGGCGUGCCUAACACAUGCAAGUCGCACGAGAAAGGGGAGCAAUCCCUGAGUAAAGUGGCGCACGGGCGAGUAACACGUGAAUCAUCUACCUUCGAGUGGGGAAUAACUGAGAGAAAUCUUAGCUAAUACCGCAUAAUACCUACGGGUCAAAGCAGCAAUGCGCUUGAAGAGGAGUUCGCGGCAGAUUAGUUAGUUGGCGGGGUAAUGGCCCACCAAGACGAUGAUCUGUA
rnacentral:rRNA from 1 species